AAAUAAAUAUCUAAAUUUAAGAGUAUAUCAUUUACAAUGAUAAGAUGUUAUAUAUUAACUUUAUUUA
rnacentral:tRNA from 1 species